UCGAGCGAAUCAAGACGAGCUUGCUCCUGUUGAUUAGCGGCGGACGGGUGAGUAACACGUGGGCAACCUGCCUGUAAGACUGGGAUAACUUCGGGAAACCGGAGCUAAUACCGGAUAAUCGAAUUCCUCUCAUGAGGAAAAGCUGAAAGUCGGUUUCGGCUGACACUUACAGAUGGGCGCGCCGCGCAUUAGCUAGUUGGUGAGGUAACGGCUCAUAGACGCGACGAUGCGUAGCCGACCUGAGAGGGUGAGCGGCCACACUGGGACUGAGACACGGCCCAGACUCCUACGGGAGGCAGCAGUAGGGACAGUUCCGCAAUGGACGAAAACCUGACGGAGCAACGCCGCGUGAGCGAUGAAGGCCUUCGGGUCGUAAAGCUCUGUUGUUAGGGAAGAACAAGUAUCGGAGUAACUGCCGGUACCUUGACGGUACCUAACCAGAAAGCCACGGCUAACUACGUGCCAGCAGCCGCGGUAAUACGUAGGUGGCAAGCGUUGUCCGGAAUUAUUGGGCGUAAAGCGCGCGCAGGCGGUCCUUUAAGUCUGAUGUGAAAGCCCACGGCUCAACCGUGGAGGGUCAUUGGAAACUGGGGGACUUGAGUGCAGAAGAGGAAAGCGGAAUUCCACGUGUAGCGGUGAAAUGCGUAGAGAUGUGGAGGAACACCAGUGGCGAAGGCGGCUUUCUGGUCUGUAACUGACGCUGAAAA
rnacentral:rRNA from 2 species